rnacentral:ribozyme from 1 species
CUCGAGGAUAAGGUCAAGAGGGAAUACACCCUCGUCAUGAGCCUCUACCAGGCUGCGUGGUCGGACGUGAUGGUCGCGUGGAUCCACAUCAAGGCCAUGCGCGUGUUUGCGGAGAGCGCCUUGUGGUCGGGCUUGCCGCCCAAGUUUGCGGCCUUUGUCGUCAGCCCCGUGCCAGGCAAGGGCGACGCGGUGCGGAAGGUGCUCGCCGACAAGCUAGGGAAGCUGGGUGGCGGAACCGGCCCUGGCAGCAAAGGCGAC